rnacentral:ncRNA from 1 species
GCCUACAUGAAGCUGGAAUCGCUAGUAAUCGCGGAUCAGCAUGCCGCGGUGAAUACGUUCCCGGGCCUUGUACACACCGCCCGUCACACCACGAGAGUUUGUAACACCCGAAGUCGGUGAGGUAACCUUUUGGAGCCAGCCGCCUAAGGUGGGACAGAUGAUUGGGGUGAAGUCGUAACAAGGUAGCCGUAUCGGAAGGUGCGGCUGGAUCACCUCCUUU